CCUCAAAUAGUGUGUGACUACCCCCUAUAUUUAACCAUAUUAUAAGGGGAGGCCAGAUGAGGAUCAUCGACAUUAGAACUGCAUAUAAUAGAGGAUGACGCU
rnacentral:rRNA from 1 species